rnacentral:tRNA from 1 species
ACCUGGCUGGCUCAGUCGGUAGAGCAUGCGACUCUUGAUCUCAGUCGUGGGUUCAAGCCCCAUGUUGGGUG